ACCAACCAUUUCUCCAAAGAGCUCUGGUUCCUUUUACUGGAGAAUGAUAUUUAGAAACCGAUAUCUGGGUGCUAGAUGUAUUUUACCUAUGAUGGUAUUAACGCAUGUGGUAAUACUUAUUCUCAUCAGAGCUGGCCCCCUAGGUCGGAGGCAACACGAUGUGGUGGUGAAGAGGGUGGGCUCUGGAUCCAGUGUGCCUGAAUUAAAGUCCUGGCCACCAUGGACAAGUCCUGAGGCCUUGUGAAAGUGACUUAAGCUCAAAUAGUUUUACCACCUGCAUGAUGGUGGCUUCCUCAACAGGAAAAGAAAAGAACUCAUACACACCUGUUGUCAAACCUAGACGUGACUAUGUGUCUGGGAUUCUGAUUGCUAAAAAUAUCAAGUCAUCACAGAAGACACCAGGAGCAUGGAGAGGACAGGAAGUCCGAGGAGGAGGAGGACUGCAAUCAUUCUUCUCAUGAGGGGGAGUAAGAACUGCCAAACCUGUGUCUGUGAAAGCAGCUCCAAGGCAAGGGAAGGGGAAGAGAAGAAGAAAGCAGAUUUAAGCACCUGGGGACAAAGUCAUCAAAGGAUCACUUUGCCCCAUUUUGGCCUCAGGUAAGACAGAUCAGUAGAGAGGAGGGUUAGGAUGAUGUUUCAGCAAAGAACCAAGCCAUUCCCUGUAUUGCCACCCCAGGUCCUGUCACCUGUGGAAUCCUGUCCCCAAGUGGGACUUACAGUCAGGCAGAGGACACAUGUGCCCUGCUGUUGAAGGCAGGGAGGUGACAGAGUGACGCUGUUCUGAGGGCCUGCCUGCCUACACCAGAGCAGGUGGGUGGUUCCAGGCUUCCCUACCUGCUUUGUUUUCCACUGACUUAGUUCCUCAGGCCAUUCCAGAUUGAGGCCUCAUCCCUGUUAGGAUGCUGGGCCACACUUCCUCUUGGGCUCUCCUCCCAGUUUCAUUCCACGUCACUAACCUUAGCUGGCCUCCUCAAAUUUGGUGUGUGCCCUGAUAUCUAGUUUGGAGCCAAAUCCUUCAGACUCUGGCCUCAGCCUGAGCCUUCGGAUUCAUCAGCCUUGCUAAUUUCCUCUUCUAAUACCUCCCCACCUUGGCCUUUCCCCUCUUUUCUGUACUCUCUAUCCUGUCUUGGUGACAGGAUUCUUCUAGUCCUGGCGUCACCCGGCCACCCUGUCUUCCCCACCCCCAUCCAGCUGGCUGGUGCAAUCUGCUAUUCAAGGGAUAACUUUAUUCAGUGUCCAACCCUGCCUUCUGCAAGGUAACCAUGCUAGAAUGUUAGUCUAAUACCCUUUCUCUGCCUGUUCGAGGGGAGUCUGUGAAAGCUCGUCACAGGAUCUGCCUGGGUAGACCCCCUGUUUACCUCUGUGUCCCGAUCAUUGGAUUCUGACUGUCCUAGUCAUUCCAAGUUCUCAAAAACUUGUUUCCCCACUCUGCUUGCCAAUACCUUUCUCUUGUUUUUUUCUU